rnacentral:lncRNA from 1 species
AUAUCCAUCUAAUAAAGAUAGCUAUAAAAAUAAAAAAGCAAAAAAAAAAAAAAGUAAUUGUCUGGGCCAGAGUUGUGAUGUGGUGGGUAAAGCUGCUCCCUGCAAUGCUAGCAUCCCACGUGGGUGCCCGUUUGUGUCCCAGCUGCUCUGCUUCCGUUGCAGCUUCCUGCUAACGGCUUGGGAAAAGCAGCAGAAAAUGGCCCAGGUAUUUGGGUCCCUGCACCCACGUGGAAGACCUGGAUGAAGCUCCUUGUUCCUGGCUUCUGCCUGGCUCAGCCCUGGCCAUUACGACCACUUGGGGAGUGAACCAGUCGAUGGAGGAUCUCUCUCUCUCUCUCUCUCUCUCUCUUUCCCUCUCCCUCUUUCCCUCUCUCCCUCCCUCCCUCACCUCCUCUUUUUUCUCUCUCCCUCCCCCUCCCUCUCCUUCUCUCUUCUCUCUCCCCCACCCAUCUGUAACUCUUUCAGAUAAUAAAUAAAUCUUUUAAAAAACCAAAUUUUCUGUGAAACUGGAGAUAAAUGGACUGUUCUGUGUGUUUCUAUUAAGCUGGGACCAUAGGCACAGUUACCAGGGCACUUAAGGAGAUAGGUGUCAGCUCCACAUAAGGCAGCUUUUCCUACAAUGGGGAUGGUAGCAAGCUGCAUGAACUACCUGCAGAAGAUCUGAGUUUCCAGUCACUUGUAGAUUCUGAGCAGAGAUGGGACCACCCCUCAGUGAAGCAGGGGUACAGGGAACUCAGGCAGCAGAGGAGGGAAGAACUGGGGUGAACUUAUAAUGCCAGUAUGCAUGGUUAUAUUUUUAAGGAACAAAAAGAUCAUAAGAAAUAACUUAAACAAAAGCAAAAUCCUUCUUCCCCCAUUGCUGACCCUCACUUCCACUGGGUCAUUGUGAGCGUUGGCUUGAUCUUCCAUCGGUAGCACAUGAAUGCUGUUCAGCUGGCGAUGUUAACAAGCAGGUGGUGUAAUUGCCACACAGUGCUUGCUCAACCUCAGGGACAGCUUUCCUUCCCUUCUUUUCCUGAUUCUCUCUGUGUAUGGGAGAUGACAGCAACAUCUACAGAAUUCCCUAGGAAGGAGGUCCUGGGAUACAAGAUCAGUUCCUAGUGCUUUGUCAUGCUCACGGUAACCGCUUUUAUCAUCUUUUGGGUCUAGAGAUUCACUCAUUGUCCCUCUGACAAUAUCUCCUUUAAAUCUUGGGGUGUUUCACAAGCCUUAAAAGGAGUAGGACAAAGUCUCCCUAAAUCCCAUUUUCUUACUGUCACUUAAAAUAGCCCACUCUAGUGUUUACUCCUCAGUCUAUAACUGACCGUGGAAGUAAGUAGCAAAGAAUAGUUAUGGAGGUUCCCAAAUCUUGAAAUUUUUGGUGCCUGAAUCUCUGGUUUCUGAUUCCUGACUUUCUUACCCAGAAAGGUCUUGGAAGGUUUUGGAGAGUGGCAUGACAUAAACAUGAUCACUAUGGUGGCUGUGUUAUAUGAGGACACUUCAAAAAGUUCAUACAAAAAAUAAAAAAUUAAACAAUUUGGAUUGCA